rnacentral:rRNA from 1 species
GCACUUUCAGUAGGGAGGAAGGUAGUGUAGUUAACACCUGCAUUAUUUGACGUUACCUACAGAAGAAGCACCGGCUAACUCCGUGCCAGCAGCCGCGGUAAUACGGAGGGUGCGAGCGUUAAUCGGAAUUACUGGGCGUAAAGCGCAUGCAGGCGGCCUGUUAAGUCAGAUGUGAAAGCCCCGGGGCUUAACCUCGGAAUUGCAUUUGAAACUGGCAGGCUAGAGUCUUGUAGAGGGGGUAGAAUUUCAGGUGUAGCGGUGAAAUGCGUAGAGAUCUGAAGGAAUACCAGUGGCGAAGGCGGCCCCCUGGACAAAGACUGACGCUCAGAUGCGAAAGCGUGGGAGCAAACAGGAUUAGAUACCUGGUAG